rnacentral:rRNA from 1 species
UACAGAGGUCCCAAGCGUUGUUCGGAUUCACUGGGCGUAAAGGGUGCGUAGGUGGCCAGGUAAGUUUGGUGUGAAAGCUCGGAGCUUAACUCCGAAAAGUCAUUGAAUACUAUCUGGCUGGAGGGUCGGAGGGGAGACUGGAAUUCUCGGUGUAGCAGUGAAAUGCGUAGAUAUCGAGAGGAACACCAGUGGCGAAGGCGAGUCUCUGGACAACUUCUGACGCUGAGGCACGAAAGCUAGGGGAGCAAACAGG